rnacentral:rRNA from 1 species
GACGAACGCUGGCGGCGUGCUUAACACAUGCAAGUCGAACGGAAAGGCCCUGCUUUUGUGGGGUGCUCGAUUGGCGAACGGGUGAGUAACACGUGAGUAACCUGCCCUUGACUUUGGGAUAACUUCAGGAAACUGGGGCUAAUACCGGAUAUGAGCUCCUGCUGCAUGGUGGGGGUUGGAAAGUUUCGGCGGUUGGGGAUGGACUCGCGGCUUAUCAGCUUGUUGGUGGGGUAGUGGCUUACCAAGGCUUUGACGGGUAGCCGGCCUGAGAGGGUGACCGGCCACAUUGGGACUGAGAUACGGCCCAGACUCCUACGGGAGGCAGCAGUGGGGAAUAUUGCACAAUGGGCGGAAGCCUGAUGCAGCAACGCCGCGUGCGGGAUGACGGCCUUCGGGUUGUAAACCGCUUUCGCCUGUGACGAAGCGUGAGUGACGGUAAUGGGUAAAGAAGCCACGGCUAACUACGUG